rnacentral:rRNA from 1 species
AGUUUGAUCCUGGCUCAGAUUGAACGCUGGCGGCAUGCCCUACACACGCAAGUCGAACGGCAGCACGGGUGCUUGCACCUGGUGGCGAGUGGCGAACGGGUGAGUAAUACAUCGGAACAUGUCCUGUAGUGGGGGAUAGCCCGGCGAAAGCCGGAUUAAUACCGCAUACGAUCUACGGAUGAAAGCGGGGGACCUUCGGGCCUCGCGCUAUAGGGUUGGCCGAUGGCUGAUUAGCUAGUUGGUGGGGUAAAGGCCUACCAAGGCGACGAUCAGUAGCUGGUCUGAGAGGACGACCAGCCACACUGGGACUGAGACACGGCCCAGACUCCUACGGGAGGCAGCAGUGGGGAAUUUUGGACAAUGGGCGAAAGCCUGAUCCAGCAAUGCCGCGUGUGUGAAGAAGGCCUUCGGGUUGUAAAGCACUUUUGUCCGGAAAGAAAUCCUUGGUUCUAAUAUAGCCGGGGGAUGACGGUACCGGAAGAAUAAGCACCGGCUAACUACGUGCCAGCAGCCGCGGUAAUACGUAGGGUGCGAGCGUUAAUCGGAAUUACUGGGCGUAAAGCGUGCGCAGGCGGUUUGCUAAGACCGAUGUGAAAUCCCCGGGCUCAACCUGGGAACUGCAUUGGUGACUGGCAGGCUAGAGUAUGGCAGAGGGGGGUAGAAUUCCACGUGUAGCAGUGAAAUGCGUAGAGAUGUGGAGGAAUACCCGAUGGCGAAAGC